GAUGAACGCUGGCGGCGUGCCUAAUACAUGCAAGUCGAGCGAACAGAUGAGGAGCUUGCUCCUCUGACGUUAGCGGCGGACGGGUGAGUAACACGUGGAUAACCUACCUAUAAGACUGGGAUAACUUCGGGAAACCGGAGCUAAUACCGGAUAAUAUAUUGAACCGCAUGGUUCAAUAGUGAAAGACGGUUUUGCUGUCACUUAUAGAUGGAUCCGCGCCGCAUUAGCUAGUUGGUAAGGUAACGGCUUACCAAGGCAACGAUGCGUAGCCGACCUGAGAGGGUGAUCGGCCACACUGGAACUGAGACACGGUCCAGACUCCUACGGGAGGCAGCAGUAGGGAAUCUUCCGCAAUGGGCGAAAGCCUGACGGAGCAACGCCGCGUGAGUGAUGAAGGUCUUCGGAUCGUAAAACUCUGUUAUUAGGGAAGAAAAAAUGUGUAAGUAAAUAUGCACGUAUUGACGGUACCUAAUCAGAAAGCAACGGCUAACUACGUG
rnacentral:rRNA from 1 species